rnacentral:rRNA from 1 species
CUAAUACCGCAUGAUACAUUUGGGUGGCAUCAUCUGAAUGUCAAAGAUUUAUCGCUGAAAGAUGGCCUCGCGUCUGAUUAGCUGGUUGGUGAGGUAACGGCCCACCAAGGCGACGAUCAGUAGCCGGACUGAGAGGUUGACCGGCCACAUUGGGACUGAGAUACGGCCCAGACUCCUACGGGAGGCAGCAGUGGGGAAUAUUGGGCAAUGGGCGCAAGCCUGACCCAGCAACGCCGCGUGAAGGAAGAAGGCUUUCGGGUUGUAAACUUCUUUUAAGAGGGAAGAGCAGAAGACUGUACCUCUAGAAUAAGCCACGGCUAACUACGUGCCAGCAGCCGCGGUAAUACGUAGGUGGCAAGCGUUGUCCGGAUUUACUGGGUGUAAAGGGCGUGCAGCCGGGAAUGCAAGUCAGAUGUGAAAUCCAUGGGCUUAACCCAUGAACUGCAUUUGAAACUGUAUUUCUUGAGUACUGGAGAGGCAAUCGGAAUUCCUAGUGUAGCGGUGAAAUGCGUAGAUAUUAGGAGGAACACCAGUGGCGAAGGCGGAUUGCUGGACAGCAACUGACGGUGAGGCGCGAAAGUGUGGGGAGCAAACAGGAUUAGAUACCCUGGUAGUCCACACUGUAAACGAUGAAUACUAGGUGUGCGGGGACUGACCCCCUGCGUGCCGC